rnacentral:rRNA from 1 species
UGGGGAAUUUUGGACAAUGGGGGAAACCCUGAUCCAGCCAUCCCGCGUGUGCGAUGAAGGCCUUCGGGUUGUAAAGCACUUUUGGCAGGAAAGAAACGUCGCGGGUUAAUACCCCGCGAAACUGACGGUACCUGCAGAAUAAGCACCGGCUAACUACGUGCCAGCAGCCGCGGUAAUACGUAGGGUGCAAGCGUUAAUCGGAAUUACUGGGCGUAAAGCGUGCGCAGGCGGUUCGGAAAGAAAGAUGUGAAAUCCCAGAGCUUAACUUUGGAACUGCAUUUUUAACUACCGGGCUAGGGUGUGUCAGAGGGAGGUGGAAUUCCGCGUGUAGCAGUGAAAUGCGUAGAUAUGCGGAGGAACACCGAUGGCGAAGGCAGCCUCCUGGGAUAACACUGACGCUCAUGCACGAAAGCGUGGGGAGCAAACAGGAUUAGAUACCCUGGUAGUCCACGCCCUAAACGAUGUCAACUAGCUGUUGGGGCCUUCGGGCCUUGGUAGCGCAGCUAACGCGUGAAGUUGACCGCCUGGGGAGUACGGUCGCAAGAUUAAAACUCAAAUGAA